rnacentral:rRNA from 1 species
AUACAGAGGGUGCGAGCGUUAAUCGGAAUUACUGGGCGUAAAGCGCGCGUAGGCGGCUACUUAAGUCAGAUGUGAAAUCCCCGGGCUCAACCUGGGAACUGCAUCUGAUACUGGGUAGCUAGAGUUUAGGAGAGGGAAGUAGAAUUUCAGGUGUAGCGGUGAAAUGCAUAGAGAUCUGAAGGAAUACCAGUGGCGAAGGCGGCUUCCUGGCCUAAAACUGACGCUGAGGUGCGAAAGUGUGGGUAGCAAACGGGAUUAGAAACCCCAGUAGUCC